UGCUACAGCCAUAUCACCCUGUAGCCCAAGACUGGUCACUCACUGAAGUUAAGCAUGGCUGAGCCUGGCCAGUACCUGGACGGGAGACCACAUGGCAAAAGUAGGUUUCUGUUUGAA
rnacentral:rRNA from 1 species